rnacentral:rRNA from 1 species
GUGGGGAAUAUUGCACAAUGGGGGAAACCCUGAUGCAGCAACGCCGCGUGAGUGAUGAAGGCCUUCGGGUUGUAAAGCUCUGUCUUCAGGGACGAUAAUGACGGUACCUGAGGAGGAAGCCACGGCUAACUACGUGCCAGCAGCCGCGGUAAUACGUAGGUGGCAAGCGUUGUCCGGAUUUACUGGGCAUAAAGGGAGCGUAGGUGGAUAUUUAAGUGGGAUGUGAAAUCCCCGGGCUUAACCUGGGGGCUGCAUUCCAAACUGGAUGUCUAGAGUGCAGGAGAGGAGAGUGGAAUUCCUAGUGUAGCGGUGAAAUGCGUAGAGAUUAGGAAGAACACCAGUGGCGAAGGCGACUCUCUGGACUGUAACUGACACUGAGGCUCGAAAGCGUGGGGAGCAAACAGGAUUAGAAACCCCAGUAGUCC